GGGUUGUGAGGUUAAGCGACUAAGCGUACACGGUGGAUGCCCUGGCAGUCAGAGGCGAUGAAGGACGUGCUAAUCUGCGAUAAGCGUCGGUAAGGUGAUAUGAACCGUUAUAACCGGCGAUUUCCGAAUGGGGAAACCCAGUGUGUUUCGACACACUAUCAUUAACUGAAUCCAUAGGUUAAUGAGGCGAACCGGGGGAACUGAAACAUCUAAGUACCCCGAGGAAAAGAAAUCAACCGAGAUUCCCCCAGUAGCGGCGAGCGAACGGGGAGCAGCCCAGAGCCUGAAUCAGUGUGUGUGUUAGUGGAAGCGUCUGGAAAGGCGCGCGAUACAGGGUGACAGCCCCGUACACAAAAAUGCACAUGCUGUGAGCUCGAUGAGUAGGGCGGGACACGUGGUAUCCUGUCUGAAUAUGGGGGGACCAUCCUCCAAGGCUAAAUACUCCUGACUGACCGAUAGUGAACCAGUACCGUGAGGGAAAGGCGAAAAGAACCCCGGCGAGGGGAGUGAAAAAGAACCUGAAACCGUGUACGUACAAGCAGUGGGAGCACGCUUAGGCGUGUGACUGCGUACCUUUUGUAUAAUGGGUCAGCGACUUAUAUUCUGUAGCAAGGUUAACCGAAUAGGGGAGCCGAAGGGAAACCGAGUCUUAACUGGGCGUUAAGUUGCAGGGUAUAGACCCGAAACCCGGUGAUCUAGCCAUGGGCAGGUUGAAGGUUGGGUAACACUAACUGGAGGACCGAACCGACUAAUGUUGAAAAAUUAGCGGAUGACUUGUGGCUGGGGGUGAAAGGCCAAUCAAACCGGGAGAUAGCUGGUUCUCCCCGAAAGCUAUUUAGGUAGCGCCUCGUGAAUUCAUCUCCGGGGGUAGAGCACUGUUUCGGCAAGGGGGUCAUCCCGACUUACCAACCCGAUGCAAACUGCGAAUACCGGAGAAUGUUAUCACGGGAGACACACGGCGGGUGCUAACGUCCGUCGUGAAGAGGGAAACAACCCAGACCGCCAGCUAAGGUCCCAAAGUCAUGGUUAAGUGGGAAACGAUGUGGGAAGGCCCAGACAGCCAGGAUGUUGGCUUAGAAGCAGCCAUCAUUUAAAGAAAGCGUAAUAGCUCACUGGUCGAGUCGGCCUGCGCGGAAGAUGUAACGGGGCUAAACCAUGCACCGAAGCUGCGGCAGCGACGCUUAUGCGUUGUUGGGUAGGGGAGCGUUCUGUAAGCCUGUGAAGGUGUGCUGUGAGGCAUGCUGGAGGUAUCAGAAGUGCGAAUGCUGACAUAAGUAACGAUAAAGCGGGUGAAAAGCCCGCUCGCCGGAAGACCAAGGGUUCCUGUCCAACGUUAAUCGGGGCAGGGUGAGUCGACCCCUAAGGCGAGGCCGAAAGGCGUAGUCGAUGGGAAACAGGUUAAUAUUCCUGUACUUGGUGUUACUGCGAAGGGGGGACGGAGAAGGCUAUGUUGGCCGGGCGACGGUUGUCCCGGUUUAAGCGUGUAGGCUGGUUUUCCAGGCAAAUCCGGAAAAUCAAGGCUGAGGCGUGAUGACGAGGCACUACGGUGCUGAAGCAACAAAUGCCCUGCUUCCAGGAAAAGCCUCUAAGCAUCAGGUAACAUCAAAUCGUACCCCAAACCGACACAGGUGGUCAGGUAGAGAAUACCAAGGCGCUUGAGAGAACUCGGGUGAAGGAACUAGGCAAAAUGGUGCCGUAACUUCGGGAGAAGGCACGCUGAUAUGUAGGUGAAGUCCCUCGCGGAUGGAGCUGAAAUCAGUCGAAGAUACCAGCUGGCUGCAACUGUUUAUUAAAAACACAGCACUGUGCAAACACGAAAGUGGACGUAUACGGUGUGACGCCUGCCCGGUGCCGGAAGGUUAAUUGAUGGGGUCAGCGCAAGCGAAGCUCUUGAUCGAAGCCCCGGUAAACGGCGGCCGUAACUAUAACGGUCCUAAGGUAGCGAAAUUCCUUGUCGGGUAAGUUCCGACCUGCACGAAUGGCGUAAUGAUGGCCAGGCUGUCUCCACCCGAGACUCAGUGAAAUUGAACUCGCUGUGAAGAUGCAGUGUACCCGCGGCAAGACGGAAAGACCCCGUGAACCUUUACUAUAGCUUGACACUGAACAUUGAGCCUUGAUGUGUAGGAUAGGUGGGAGGCUUAGAAGUGUGGACGCCAGUCUGCAUGGAGCCGACCUUGAAAUACCACCCUUUAAUGUUUGAUGUUCUAACGUUGACCCGUAAUCCGGGUUGCGGACAGUGUCUGGUGGGUAGUUUGACUGGGGCGGUCUCCUCCUAAAGAGUAACGGAGGAGCACGAAGGUUGGCUAAUCCUGGUCGGACAUCAGGAGGUUAGUGCAAUGGCAUAAGCCAGCUUGACUGCGAGCGUGACGGCGCGAGCAGGUGCGAAAGCAGGUCAUAGUGAUCCGGUGGUUCUGAAUGGAAGGGCCAUCGCUCAACGGAUAAAAGGUACUCCGGGGAUAACAGGCUGAUACCGCCCAAGAGUUCAUAUCGACGGCGGUGUUUGGCACCUCGAUGUCGGCUCAUCACAUCCUGGGGCUGAAGUAGGUCCCAAGGGUAUGGCUGUUCGCCAUUUAAAGUGGUACGCGAGCUGGGUUUAGAACGUCGUGAGACAGUUCGGUCCCUAUCUGCCGUGGGCGCUGGAGAACUGAGGGGGGCUGCUCCUAGUACGAGAGGACCGGAGUGGACGCAUCACUGGUGUUCGGGUUGUCAUGCCAAUGGCACUGCCCGGUAGCUAAAUGCGGAAGAGAUAAGUGCUGAAAGCAUCUAAGCACGAAACUUGCC
rnacentral:rRNA from 1 species